CGCCUUUUAUCCGCCCCUACUUGUGUCUAGAGCGCAGAACCAAAAGCAAAGGGGGCGUGUUGUGGCCUCUUGGUGCCGCCUUUUGCUUGCUGUCUCCUCACAGUGCCCACUAUUGCCAUCUUGGAAGGGCAGGGAGGGGAGUGAGCGGUUUGAAUUUCAGAGUGUGCAGAGCUGCUGAGGGAGGUGAAAGGAGGCGGAGGUGACAGAGCAAGGGGAGGGGCGGCCUACCCCGCCGUCACUAACAGACAUUUCUCUCUUGUACUUUCCACCCUCUUUACGGGUUUUCACUUCCUCUGUCCCGUGUAUGUAGGGAGGGUCUGUGUGAGAGAGUUUCCCCCAGCUCAGAGACAGCUCCAUAUCCGCCUUCUCCACAGCACCAGUCUGCCGCUCGACAUGACACCCACUCAAGAGAGCAGGUAGGGGAGAGAGGGGGUCUAUUCCCCAACCCCGAGCUUUGGGCUUGAUCUGGAGCCGGCAGCGCCAUCUGUGACAGCGGCCUGUAUCUUCCCUGAAGUGUGCUGCUGCGAAAGGGGGCCGGGCCUCUACAGCACUUUCCGCGGAGAUCGGGGUUCCGGCUACGGGCCUACAGGCUUUACUCCUGAAGCGAUCGGGAAUCGUGGGAGAGCUCAGGAUGUCCGUGUUACGCUAGAGCCGUACAUUUGCUUACAGGAAGUGGAUCUGGGCCCGAACCCUUACACCUAAGCACGGUAACCGAGGGAUAUUACCGAAGCCCCCUUAAGGGAGGAGGAUCUGGAAUCCGGAUUGCCUUCCCUUCGCACCCCCUCCACUAGUGGAUUGGUCUUGCUUCUACGAUGUCAAAGAUGCCAGCCAAGAAAAAGAGCUGCUUCCAGAUCACAAGUGUCAUCACGGCCCAGUCGGCCAGCAGCAUCACGGAGGAAACGGAGAGUCUGGAUGACCCGGACGAAUCGCGGACCGAGGAUGUGUCUUCGGAGAUUUUCGAUGUCUCCCGGGCUACAGACUACGGGCCGGAAGAUGUUGUGGAGCGGAGCUCGUCCGAGGAGACCCUCAGCAAUGUCGGCGAGUCAGAGACGCCAGGCGCCGUGUCGCCCAAUGUGCCGCAGGAUGGUAUUGGGGUCAUUGGCACUAAUGGGGGCACCAUGAGCAGAGGGAGCGGGCAAGGAGCUACAUUAGGUCUGACAAACCAACUUUCUAGUGGAACUGCUACUCAGAUCACUCCUGCUGCGACUGCUACGCCCACCGCCUCUAGUGUUCCCCUAGUAUCUUCUCAGUCGGCAGCGACAAGCAGCACCACCACCACCACCACUUGCAGCUCUCGCUUCAGGGUGAUCAAACUUGACCAUGGCUCAGGGGAGCCGUACAGGAGAGGCCGAUGGACAUGUACAGAAUUUUAUGACAGGGACUCUGAUGCCACCUUAAUCACUAGGACUGGGGAUGCAAUCAGGCACACAAGCACAUUUGAUCACUCUGCGGACAGGGACAGUGGAUUGGGGGCCACAGGGGGUUCUGUUGUGGCCUCUGCUGUGCAUGGUGGCCACGGUUCAGAAUCUGCAGUUGACAGUUCCCUUUGUGCUGUGUCACAGUUGCUUCAGAAUGAGAAAAUGAACCAACCCUCUCAGCAGCAACAGUUUCUAAUUGGGCAGCAGGCGGUAGGUGGAAUGGUGUCUCAAGGUACUGCCCAACAGAUGUACCCUGGUGCUGUUACAAGUCAGCAGAUGAUAGUGCAGCAGAGCCAGUCACAUACAGCUGCACAAAGUGCAACGAAUGGCAAAGGAACCAGUUCUCGUAAUGUACAUACAGUCCAGUCAACAAUAUCUUUAACUCAGCAGCAACCCAGUGUUUCUGUUAGUCAGCCUCAAGCGUUCACUUACUCCCAGGUGCAGUCUGGACACAUGAUGUCCCCUCAGCCAGCUGGUCAGACGGAAUAUGUCCAACAUAUAACAGUUAUACAAUCCCAAGGAACAACUCAGAAACCCACCACAUCUCUCAAUGCAAGUACUGUUGCUCAGUCAAGUCUUCCAGGCCAACACCUGCAAGCAGGUGGAACACAACUAAUAGGUCUUCUUCCCAAAACUAGUGACUCAGUGAGCCAGGGAUCAGGAUUGAUACAGAGCGGUCAGGCAACCCAGAGCCAGCCAGUUCAUGUCCAGCACCCAGGAAGUGGGGCACAACCAUCUGUGCCAUCUAUUGGAAUAGUGCAGCAGAAGUCUAUAAAUCAGCAAGUGAGUGGGAGUAGUAAUGUUUCAGGCAUUCCAGGGGGACACCUUACCAUGGCUCCGGGAAUACAGAACGUGCCUGCAACUGGUACAGGUGUUACUGGAGUACCAAGUACGGUGCCAAGUGUGUCUGCCACUCCUGUUACUAUGCCAAUUGCUCCUGCUGCUUUUGUGCAGUCUCCACUGAGCAGCCAUACAUCUGUCAGUAGAAGUAAUAGCCUGAUCCCAACAGUUGGGCUUCCAACAAUGCAAGGCACAUCAAAUGUACACACAAGUUUGCCACAGUCAAAUAUUAAUCAAUUUCAGACUCAGAGCCAGUCACUGGUUGGCCAAAUAGAUGACAGAAGAAAGUCUGAACCUCUACCUCAGCCACCAAUGUCUCUUAUUUCUGAGAAGCCUUUUGUGAAAGUCCCCAUCACAGACACCUUAACAAACCCUCUAUUACCCGUUUUUGGUUUACCAGUUGAUGGUGAUGAAGACAGUUUUUUUAGAUCUACAGUAUUGCUAUUUUACUUUGGAAGAUCUUGGAACUGGAUUAGAGCAGUCAAGGGAGCAGGGGAUAUCGUAAAAGAAAAAUUUAAGUGGGAUUAACAAUAUGGGAACAUCGACUGGUUUAGCCACUUAAUCUAAUGUUCAAACAGAGAGAGAGAAAUUGUGAAGUUCAUCGAGUGCAAAUGUUGUAGCCAUCGACAACAAAAUUGAACAGGCAAUGGACCUGGUGAAAAGCCAUCUGAUGUAUGCAGUAAGAGAAGAAGUGGAAGUCCUAAAGGAACAAAUAAAGGAAUUAAUAGAGAAAAACUCUACCCUUGAACGGGAAAAUGCACUGUUAAAAUCUCUUUCCAACAAUGAUCAGCUGUCCCAACUCACAAAUCAAGCUGGACUGAGCACUUGCCAGCAACAACAGCCUCCAGUGACUACAGCUCCCAUCAGUGCUCCACCGAAUGCACACCCCGCGCAGCAACCGAAUGUCUCUUCAGCAUAAAUCCUAGAGACUGCUUUCUUGCCUUGUGUUGCAGACUGAAAGCAAUCUGUCCUUGUGUGCCACUGCUGUUUGUUUCACUUUAAAACCGAAAACAAGAAAAAAUGAAAGCAAGUAGCCAUGCUUCAUUUGUGUGUUUGGCCUUUUUCAGUAUUAGACAAUCAUUUCCCCAUGUCUCCCACUUCUAGAGAGAUGAGAGAGGUGAAACAUGUUUCAUUGUGCACCAUAUUAUGAGUUGUUGUUAAGAAUCUGUGUGCUAAUUACAGGCCUCUUAUUCUUGAGAGGUGAGCCCCUGGAUGGUCAGGAGACCUGCAAUACAUUGUGUUCCUAGCCCUCUUUUGAAGGGAAUGAAGCAGCAUUUCAUGUUAAAAUAUUUAUAUAUCUUGAAAAUCUCAACACUUAUUAAACUGAAAUUAGAUGUAGACCCUCCACUGCAGGUAUGUGCUUCUAACAUUGCUAUAGUCCGGGUAGUAAUGUGUAUAUAUACCCUCAAAGUGCUGAUGAGUGCAUGAGAGAAGGGCAAUGCUCUUCAUCAGGCUAUUCAUUCUUCCAUUAAAGAUUUCUAGCACAGAUGAAGAUUGUUUUAGCAAGAUGUUGUUUUUGCACUUAUUUCUAGCUUAAUAUUUAAUUACUAUAACGUAAUAAAUUAUUCUGAGGGGGAAAAAAAAAUGGUCAGUUCUGUUUUGUUGCAUGUAAUGGUUUGGAAGGAUCCCUUUAAGUGUUAAGAAUGUGAACUAAAGUUAGGAUAUGCACUCUAUAAGUAAGUCUGUAUCAUAUAUAUUUCAUAUAUAUUUUCUGUAUACAAAAAGAAAGUGUCUCUAAUGGAAAGGUAAAUAAAAGAAAGGACUUCAAAGCCUCUUUACCAACUUUGCUUAGUAGGAAUUGUUUGGAAUGUGGCUAUAUCUGCCCUUGUCUGACUAUAGUGACCCAAUUCUAGUUAAAGUUAAGUAAAUAACCAUCAGUCUUUGGCAAGAACAUUGAUAAUGAUUACAUCUUGGGCUUGUUUCCCCUUGACUUUUGGACAUCUUGUUAAAGAAUAUACCAAAUAACAUUUUUAUUUAAAAUGACAAAUAGCCAGAUAAAUGGCAUACUCAAUUCCUUCAUCACUACAUCAUCCUGCUACACCUAAAGAAUGCCAAAAUAGCUUUCAUUUCUAUAAAACUAUGUAGUACAUUUCAGAUAUGUCUGUAAAUAUAUUGAAAAGCCUGAUGAUUUUACUUAUUCUCCUUUUAGAUCAGGCUGGUAGAGGGGGAGACAUUUUUCCUCUGCACUCCAGUGCUGGAUAGGAUUUGACACUGUUAAAUAUAGCACAAUGUAAGGGUUGAAGAGAGAAACGCACACCAACAAUAUCAUGUUCAUGUUGCUAAGUCCGUGUUAUGUUAUGCAGCAAGAAACUACAGAGACACCUUGUAGUUAUAUAGCAAUUUUGUUUCCUGAAGCUGGAAAGCAACUUCUAUCUGUUGGGGUAAAACUUGGGCUUGGCCAGGAGGUACAGUAUCGCACAUGUGGUUUUGCGGAGGGUCAUUUAACAUAAAAUGCUGCAUCAGACCGAACAGAAAUUGGCAGAGUCUUCGAGCCAAGGUGGCUUGCCCGAGUAAUAUUACUCUUAUGAUCCGUACUCUGAGCCAUGCUGUGUCAUUACUAUGUAAGCAAUCUUCUUUGUAUACAUAGAGAGAGCCAUCAUAUGUUAACAAUAAGUACCUUUUGCCUCUUAGUUUCAUUUAAUGUUUGUGUUUUAUUUAUUACAGGGCUGCUAUUUUCAUAAUGUAUAUGAACAAUGUCACAGAAACGUUCUUGUUAUUUUUUCCUUCUCUUAAGAAGAAAAAUGUAAUUAUCAGUAAAGAACUGAUGAGAUUUUAUCUGUAGGCAGAAUGUUUAGGCAAUAACUGAGCAAAAAUGUCUUGGUUUCUAUAUAUAUAUCUAUAUAUAUAUAUAUAUAUAUAUAUCUAUAUAUAUAUAUAUAUAUAUAUAUAUAUAUAUAUAUAUAUAUAUAUAUAUAUAUAUAUAAAUAUAUAUCUAACACUAAGCAGUUUUACUUUUGGUAUUUAUUUUACAAUAGUCAAGACCCAGUUUGAAUGUACAUUUUGUAUAGAGUGUAAGUAAGGAACCGUUAAUGCACCUGUACAGGAGAGCAACAUUUGUGAUUCUAAAAUAAAUGAUAGUCUAGCUAUUUUGAUGAAGAAAAAAAAAAGUUCAUUUCUCUUAUUUCCGGCUUUAAGAGAAGAAAAAUUUGCAAUGAUUCCUAUGCUUUUUAGACAAUUUAUGUGAGUUAUUUUUUAGGGUGGGAUUACAAAAACUGUGAAAUUGUUCAACCUACUUUGUAACCAAAGAAGCAAAGCUGUGUAAUUUUUUUAUUUUAUAAUGCACAUUCUUUGUAUUAUUAUUUAGUGUUCUCUCAUUCACUUUUUUUUUUUUUUUUUUUUUUUUUUGCUGUUUAGCAUGAUCUGCAUGACCUAUAAUCUCUGAACCACUUUCGUACCUCAUGUUUUGUCCAGCACUCUUAUUGUAAUCUGUAAUCUGUGAACUUCAUCAAAUAAAAAGAGCAAGCAGCUGGUGUCGGUGGAAAUGCACUAGUGUAGCACACACUAGUAAACAGACAAAACAAAACAAAAACAACAAAAAAAAAACAAAACAAAAAAAAAAACAAAUGAAGUGAGCCAUCCUUUGUUCAUUUAAAAUGGUGUUAUGAAUUUCGUAUACAUAAAGACAAGUUUUGUUACAUUGCGGAUUUUAAUGUAUUUAAUAAAUGCAACAUGCAGAUUAAUUACAGUGUAUAAGGCGUAUUUAAAUAUUAAAAAAAAAAUACAAAUGUA